rnacentral:rRNA from 1 species
AAUGAACGUUGGCGGCGUGGAUUAGGCAUGCAAGUCGAGCGCGAACCCCGCAAGGGGUGGAAGCGGCGAAAGGGAGAGUAACGCGUGGGUAUCUACCCUCGGGACUGGGAUAGCUGCGGGAAACUGCAGGUAAUACCAGAUGACGUCCCCGGACCAAAGGUGUGAUUCCGCCUGAGGAUGAGCCCGCGUCCUAUUAGCUAGUUGGUGGGGUAAUGGCCUACCAAGGCAAUGAUGGGUACUGGGUGUGAGAGCACGACCCAGCUCACUGGGACUGAGACACUGCCCAGACACCUACGGGUGGCUGCAGUCGAGAAUCUUCGGCAAUGGGCGAAAGCCUGACCGAGCGACGCCGCGUGUGGGAUGAAGGCCUUCGGGUUGUAAACCGCUGUCAGAGGGGAGGAAUGGGCGGAGGGUAAUCUCUUCGUUUUGACCUAUCCUCAGAGGAAGUACGGGCUAAGUUCGUGCCAGCCGCCGCAGUAA